AUGAACGCUGGCGGCGUGGAUAAGGCAUGCAAGUCGGACGAUUUCCUUUUUUGAAGAAGAUGCGAUUACAUCAAGUCAACUGAUAUUUUGGAGAUAGUGGCGAACGAGCUAGUAACACCUUGGUACGUACCCAAAAGUUUGGUAUAGCUCGCCGAAAGGUGGGGUAAUCCCAAAUAAUCCCUCUAUCUAUCGGAUAGAAGGGUAAAGUCGCAAGACGCUUUUGGAGCGGCCUAGGACCGAUCAGUUAGUUGGUGAGGUAAUGGCUCACCAAGACGAUGACCGGUAGGGG
rnacentral:rRNA from 1 species